rnacentral:rRNA from 1 species
UUUUCGUAGGUGAACCUGCGAAAGGAUCAUUAUCGGCACAUCCCCAUCUCCGAGAACGGACAGGCGAGCCCUCUUCGGAGGCGACGCCGAGGUUUCGAAAGCAUGCGUGGUGGACGGCUCGGUUCCCGCGUCGAUGAAGGACGUAGCGAGAUACGAAAGGUGUUGCGAAUUGCAAGAUUUCGCGAGUCAAUGACCAUCCGAAUGCAUCGCCGCCCUCCCCUCGCCUCCGGGCGGAGGGAGGACGCGUCGGCGACAUCGCCCCGCUCCAGCGCUCUGCCCGAAACGCGGCGGAGGCGCCCGUGGACGGAGCACCCGACGGUCGGUCGGCGUGUCCGUUCCAGCUCGCUCAGCCGAACCGCCCGGUCUAGACUGACCCGCGGUGGCUUUGAGAGAAUCGCUGCGAUGUCGUCGGCGAGGAAACCCGCUGAACUUAAGCAUAUCAUUAAGCGG